rnacentral:rRNA from 1 species
UCAUCAUGCCCCUUAUGACCUGGGCUACACACGUGCUACAAUGGUUGGUACAACGAGUUGCGAGUCGGUGACGGCGAGCUAAUCACUUAAAGCCAAUCUCAGUUCGGAUUGUAGGCUGCAACUCGCCUACAUGAAGUCGGAAUCGCUAGUAAUCGCGGAUCAGCACGCCGCGGUCGAUACGUCCGGCCUU